rnacentral:lncRNA from 1 species
CCGUGUGACCUACUAAAUAAUCUAUAAGAUGGGUGUUGUUGUUGUGUAUAGUGGGGUGAAUGGUAGGCCAAAGAAGGAAAUGCUUGCGCCCUAAUCCCUGCAGCCCAUGAGUAUUAUUGUAUGGCAAAGGAUGUGAUUAAGUUUCUUGAGAUGAAGGGUUUUUCCUGAUUAUCUGGGAGGACCGUAAAUGAAAUCACAUGUAUCCUUGGGAAAGAAAGGCAGAAGGAGUCUGGGGACACAUAGAGAAGAGAAGAUAUGAAAACGGAGCAGAGGGAGCUGCAGCCACUACAAGCCAAAGAAUGCUGACAGCACCAGAAACUGGAAGAAACAAAGAACAGAUUCUCCCCUAGAGCUUCCACAAGGAUUAUGGUUCUGUUGACACCUUGAUUUUUGACGCCUAGCCUUUUAAAAUUACUGUUUUUUAUUUUUUUAAAACAAGGUCUAGCUCUGUUGUCCAGGCUGUCUGUUGUCACUUACAGUACUGAUGUCUCACCUUUCUGUCCCCAAUAGCAUUGAUGUCCUUGGAUACAAGCUCUGAUUUCUUUGGAUGCAUUCAGAGCUCUUAUGUUUGUCUCUAUAUAAAUAAAGCCUUGGCUAUGCCUAAUGUAGUAACUCUAUCAACCCUUCCAGCUUUAACAUAUUUUUGUAUGCAUGCCUGCAUCCUAAAUCCUAGCCUUGUUCUGCCUUUAGAGCCCUGGAUACAAUAACCUAGAGGGACCAGAAAUCUAUAGGUCUAGGUAGAGAAAUGAUCAAAUUGAAGGAAUUCAGCUCCUUCUUCAACAUUCCCCAUCUUGGCUGCCCAAAGAAACUUAAGCAUAACCUUUUCUAUCUUUCUCUACCUUAUCUCUCACACUCCAUCAAUUAUCAAGUCCUGUGGAUUCAACUUCUCAAAUAUCUCUUGAAUUAACCGAAUUCUGUCCAUCCUAACACGAGGCAAUUGAACGUGCUGUUUCUCCUGCCUUUCCACAAAUAUAGAAGACUGUCAGCUGCACAGCAGCCACUCUCACUGGCAGGUUAGCCCACAAUCAUGCUCCAAAAUUAUGUAGAGAACAAAUUUAUAAUCUGCCAUA